GGGGUUGUGGCUCAGAGGCAGAGCGCUUGCCUAGCAUGCAUGAGGCACUGGGUUCGAUCUUUGACCCCA
rnacentral:tRNA from 1 species